CUUUGGCUUCAACCAGGGCACCGAGGGCAGGAGGCUGUUGAGCGAGGCCGUGAAGGUGGGUCGCUUUUCUACCACGUCUGUUUUGUGAGAGAUGCAGGUCAAAUCUGGUUCUAAUGCACUAUGUAUUGAGUCCAUGCACCGCUCGGUCAAUUUGCUUGAUGCAAGCGUCUGAUGACAGGGUCACCUUGUGCCCUGUGUCUCAUGAUAUGCAUCAUAAUUGUCAAACGCCUGAAUGUGCAUGUGUAUAUGUACAGGUCGACGCUGCCACCUCCAUCGUCUCCGGCGACCUGACAUACGACAAUGCGCACAAGGCCAUCUUUGGCUUCAACCAGGGCACCGAGGGCAGGCACCUUCUGUCCGAGGCCGUCAAGGUGUGCCGUUCAUGACUUCUGCCGCCAUGCAUGCUUCUAUCCGCAGAAUUGACAUUCUGGCUCUCACAUGAGUGAUAAUUUUGCAUCUCUCAUGACAAUCAUUUCAUUGGCCGCAGGUCGACGCUGCUACCUCCAUCGUCUCCGGCGACCUGACAUACGACAAUGCGCACAAGGCCAUCUUUGGCUUCAACCAGGGCACCGAGGGCAGGCACCUUCUGUCUGAGGCCGUCAAGGUGUGCCCGUCAUGACUCCUGCCAUGCAUGCUAUUUUUUUUGCAGACAUGAUAUUUCUCCCUCACAGACCUGUGAUUACUUUGCAUGCGCAAAAUGCUUGUCAACCAGCAGAUUUAGGCUGUCUGACCAUCUUGUGUACAUGUCUUGCUGAAAUUGGACAGAUAGAUAAGACACACUGAAAGAGGUGUCCAAUUGAAAGUAUUUCACAUUUUUAUACAUCCUUCAGUGUCCAAGCCAAAUAAGACAUGCAGACAUUCCUAAUGUCCAAUGCCAGGUCUUAUCAAUGUCUGCAGCGUCUGUGCAUUGUCCACAUGUCUGAUUGUCGAGCAUGUCGAAUGUGUCUUAUCUCGUAGAUUGUCUAAAAAUAGUACCGUUAGACACUCUCAGACACGUCUAAUUGGUGUGAAGCGGUCUUUUUAUGUCUGAGUGACAUUUCUUCUUGACUGCAGGUUGACGCUGCUACCUCAAUUGCCUCCGGUGACAUCUCAUACGACAAUGUGCACAAGGCCAUCUUCGGCUUCAACCAGGGCACAGAGGGCAGGCACCUUCUGUCUGAGGCUGUCAAGGUAAUUCUCUGACUUGUGUCUCUGCUUUCUUGUCAUCUUAUUAUGUUCUCAUCCCAUCUGGCUCUUGCAGCUUCUAGGCACAUGACAUUCCUUUACAUCUUUUCACUGGCCGCAGGUUGACGCUGCUACCUCCAUUGCCAAGGGCGACCUGACAUACGACAACGCACACAAGGCCAUCUUCGGUUUUAACCAGGGCACUGAGGGCAGGAGGCACCUGUUGAGCGAGGCCGUGAAGGUACCAAAUUUCCCCUCUUAUCUGAGAGACAAAUCAAAUUCUCAGCACCUCAUAAAGAGUCCGCUGCAUGCUCUGGUACCAUGCAGGUUCUAAGGCAAGUGACUGGCUGCAGGUUGACGCUGCUACCUCCAUUGCCAAUGGCGACCUGACAUACGAGAACGCACGCAAGGCCAUCUUCGGCUUCAACCAGGGCACCGAGGGCAGGCACCUGUUGUCUGAGGCCGUCAAAGUACGCCUCUCGUCUCAUACCUUGUCAUCCUGUGUCACACAGAGCUUGCCAAUCCUUCAUCACACAUAUUGGAUUUCUGGUCCCAUGUCUAGCUGCUUUGUUACUAGCAUCUCUCUGACAUCCUUACAAUUGACCGCAGGUUGACGCUGCUACCUCCAUUGCCCAGGGCGACCUGACAUACGACAACGCACGCAAGGCCAUCUUCGGUUUCAACCAGGGCACUGAGGGCAGGAGGCACCUGUUGAGCGAGGCCGUGAAGGUACCUGAUGUCCCCUCUUAUCUGAGAGACAAAUCAAAUUCUCAGCACCUCAUAAAGAGUCCGCUGCAUGC
rnacentral:lncRNA from 1 species